rnacentral:rRNA from 1 species
CCUACGGGGGGCAGCAGUGGGGAAUAUUGCACAAUGGGGGAAACCCUGAUGCAGCGACACCGCGUGAGUGAAGAAGUAAUUCGUUAUGUAAAGCUCUAUCAGCAGGGAAGAAAAUGACGGUACCUGAGUAAGAAGCCCCGGCUAACUACGUGCCAGCAGCCGCGGUAAUACGUAGGGGGCAAGCGUUAUCCGGAUUUACUGGGUGGAAAGGGAGCGUAGACGGCAGUGCAAGUCUGGAGUGAAAGGCGGGGGCUCAACCCCCGGACUGCUCUGGAAACUGUACGGCUGGAGUGCAGGAGAGGUAAGUGGAAUUCCUAGUGUAGCGGUGAAAUGCGUAGAUAUUAGGAGGAACACCAGUGGCGAAGGCGGCUUACUGGACUGUAACUGACGUUGAGGCUCGAAAGCGUGGGGAGCAAACAGGAUUAGAUACCCUUGUAGUC